UCUUAGUGGCGGACGGGUGAGUAACACGUGAGCAACCUGCCUCUGAGAGUGGGAUAGCUUCUGGAAACGGAUGGUAAUACCGCAUAACAUAGUGAGGAGACAUCUUCUUGCUAUCAAAGAUUUAUCGCUCAGAGAUGGGCUCGCGUCUGAUUAGGUAGAUGGUGAGGUAACGGCCCACCAUGCCGACGAUCAGUAGCCGGACUGAGAGGUUGGACGGCCACAUUGGGACUGAGACACGGCCCAGACUCCUACGGGAGGCAGCAGUGGGGAAUAUUGCACAAUGGGGGGAACCCUGAUGCAGCGAUGCCGCGUGGAGGAAGAAGGUUUUCGGAUUGUAAACUCCUGUCUUAAAGGACGAUAAUGACGGUACUUUAGGAGGAAGCUCCGGCUAACUACGUGCCAGCAGCCGCGGUAAUACGUAGGGAGCGAGCGUUGUCCGGAAUUACUGGGUGUAAAGGGAGCGUAGGCGGGAUUGCAAGUCAGGUGUGAAAUACAUGGGCUUAACCCAUGGGCUGCACUUGAAACUGUAGUUCUUGAGUGAAGUAGAGGUAAGCGGAAUUCCUGGUGUAGCGGUGAAAUGCGUAGAUAUCAGGAGGAACACCGGUGGCGAAGGCGGCUUACUGGGCUUUUACUGACGCUG
rnacentral:rRNA from 1 species